AGCCUCCUAGAUUCAUUUUUGGCGGGAAAAUGAGCUGGGUUAAUUUUUGUUCGCGGAUCCCGGUUUUGAUGUGAUCCAACCCGUUUUAUGACCCGGGUAUAUAAAUCACCUAAAAACCUAAAUUCAUGUGGCCUCAUUAUUUUCCUUCACUGGUUCACACCGAAACCUUAGCCUCCGUCUUCUUCUGCCAUCUGAGAGGUUCUAACAUCUUUUCUUUGCUAAAACCCUAGAUAUCUCUACUACUGCGCUUCCUCAGAUCAUAUUGGAUCUUCAACAAUUUCUCUUCAUCUCAAUCACCAUCGAUUAUGUGGAUUUGAGGUCAUAAUUUCAUCGAAAAACUAAUGUUUUGUUGUAAUUCUUCUCUACUUGCAGACAUCCAACACGGAUUUUACAUGAAGAUCUGAAAACUAGGACAAAAUGCCCUAGCCGCCCCUUCAGCUUAUACGGCUAGGGUUCCGGUCAUUAGUCAUCCGUUUUUCGCUUCAGAAUCCAUGGUGUUUAGGUACGGGAAUCUACUGGGGUUUGUAUGCAAGUUCAGGGACACAAUGAUGCAUUUGCCUUAGAAUUGUUGGUAUCGUGAAAGCAACAGGUUCAUCCUCAGUUUCUUGAGCAAGCAAGGAUGCCUUUGCCACUUGAAAUGGCGCAAGAGCCUGUUUACGUGAAUGCCAAAAAAUACCAUGCGAUAUUAAGGCGAAGGCAAUCCUGUGCAAAAGUAGAGCUUGAGAAGAAACUUAUAAAAGACAGAAAGCCUUAUCUUCAUGAAUCACGGCAUCAGCAUGCUAUGACAAGGGUAAGGGGCUCCGGUGGUCGUUUUGCAAAGGAAACUGACGCUAAUAAGAACACAACAGGUUCGGGUUCAAGUUCUGCCAUGUCAUCAUCCCAGUCGGUGAAUUCAAACCGGGUGCACUUGAGCAAUGGAAAAGUAAAGCGGUUACUCAAGAUAUGUUAAUUUAUGCUAAAAUUAUGGUCAUGCAUUAAUGAUUAAUGGUACCGUUUCUUUUAACUUUAGUAAUUCCUUUAUCUCAUAUUUACACCCGGUGAGAUAAAACGAAAGAGUGAAAAGUUUAACCACUGUCGGAUGUUAAAACCACAUUAUACUUAUUGUGCUUUUAAUGCGGCGAAUGCACUCUUAAUCGACCUGAUUAUUUAUUGUUUCUUUCUACAUGAUCAAGUUUACUAAACGGAACGGUUUCUUCUUCUAAAAGCAAGUUCGAUGAUAAAAUAGAAGCAUCUUAUGCUAAAACGUAUUUCCAUUACUGCGGGCAACUGCUUCAUCAGCAAAAUAUGAUGCAGGAUUAUGUGAGAACAGGUUCCUACUAUGCUGCGGUUAUUGAGAAUAAAGCCGAUAGCUGGUGAUAUUUUCAAGUUGUUUUAGUAUUUGUGUAGUCUCGCAACUUGGAGAUUAUUCACUUAAUCAGUUAACCAAGUUAAUUCACUGUUCGUGAGUAUUUUAUUCAUACAACUUCAAGCCUUUUACGACGUUCACCUGUCAAUCACGGUAAAGACAGGUCGCUUGGGUUGAUCAAAAGUCCUUUUGUCUAAAACGGGUAUACAAGGAAGAGGCUAUUAAAGGCAAGGAGAUAUACAAUAGCGAAAUGACGCAUUACAAACUGAGUACUCUACCUUCUCUGGAAUCAAGAAAGGAGCAGUUCUUCAGGAAGCUAGGGUCGUUAAUGAUCCUCAGUUGGAUUCAAGGAGGUGUUCUCAGGUGUACAGUGUGACGGCUUCUCAUCACAAGGUCCGCAACCAUCACAUCCGGGUAAUCAUAAGUACUACCAUUCCUGCUAAGCUUUGCAAGAGGGAGUUCACUAUAGAUUUGUGGAUUUUAUUGUUUUUUAUUUGUAAAUUUUGUUUGUAAUUCAAUUUUUGUUAUUUAAUUCAAUAUGCAACUUUGUUUAUAAGAAAUUUAUUAACACAAUAAUGAAUUAUAUA